GACGAACGCUGGCGGCGUGCUUAACACAUGCAAGUCGAACGGAAAGGCCCUGCUCUUGUGGGGUGCUCGAGUGGCGAACGGGUGAGUAACACGUGAGUAACCUGCCCUUGACUUUGGGAUAACUUCAGGAAACUGGGGCUAAUACCGGAUAGGAGCUCCUGCUGCAUGGUGGGGGUUGGAAAGUUUCGGCGGUUGGGGAUGGACUCGCGGCUUAUCAGCUUGUUGGUGGGGUAGUGGCUUACCAAGGCUUUGACGGGUAGCCGGCCUGAGAGGGUGACCGGCCACAUUGGGACUGAGAUACGGCCCAGACUCCUACGGGAGGCAGCAGUGGGGAAUAUUGCACAAUGGGCGGAAGCCUGAUGCAGCAACGCCGCGUGCGGAAUGACGGCCUUCGGGGUGUAAACCGCUUUCGCCUGUGACGAAGCGUGAGUGACGGUAAUGGGUAAAGAAGCACCGGCUAACUACGUG
rnacentral:rRNA from 1 species